GAUGAAGAACGUAGCGAAAUGCGAUACUUGGUGUGAAUUGCAGAAUCCCGUGAACCAUCGAGUCUUUGAACGCAAGUUGCGCCCGAAGCCGUCAGGCCGAGGGCACGCCUGCCUGGGCGUCACACGCCGUUGCCCCCCCGCGCCCCGCACCCAACGCUUUGGGAGCGACCGCGGGGCGGGCUGAUGAUGGCCUCCCGUGCGCUCCGCCGCGCGGUUGGCCCAAAUACCGAGUCCCCGGCGACGUGCGCCACGACGAUCGGUGGUUAAGAGACCUCUGUCGCAAGUCGUGCGCGCCCGUCGCGUCACGCGGGCUCGCAUAGCGCCUCGCGCCGCACCCGGUGCGGAGCUUUCAACGCGACCCCAGGUCAGGCGGGGUUACCCGCUGAAUUUAAGCAUAUCAAUAAGCGGAGGA
rnacentral:misc_RNA from 1 species